rnacentral:rRNA from 1 species
AUUGAACGCUGGCGGCAGGCCUAACACAUGCAAGUCGAGCGGAGCGGCGGACGGGUGAGUAAUGCAUAGGAAUCUGCCUGGUAGUGGGGGAUAACGUCCGGAAACGGGCGCUAAUCCCGCAUACUAUCAGAUGAGCCUAGGUCGGAUUAGCUAGUUGGUGGGGUAAAGGCCUACAAAGGCCACGAUGCAUAGCCGACCUGCGAGGGUGAUCGGCCACACUGGGACUGAGACACGGCCCAGACUCCGACGGAAGGCAGCAGUGGGGAAUAUUGGACAUGGGGCGAAAGCCGGAUCCAGCCAUGCCGCGUGUGUGAAGAAGGUCUUCGGAUUGUAAAGCACUUUAAGUUGGGAGGCGUUACCAACAGAAUAAGCACCGGCUAACUUCGUGCCAGCCGCCGCGGUAAUUC